AAUACUGCUAAUACCAAUCCAUAACAAAUCUACCCAAGACUGGUGUCACAACUUCACAGACUGUCUAGGAGUACUACAAAUAAAAGUCUGAAAGAAAUAAAUACAACACUAUCUCUGAAAAUACAUGAAAGAAACAGGAAUAGUAGAUAGAAGGAGACGCCAAGGCCUGCGGACGCCUGUAGGACUACCUCGGAUCGCCUGAUGAACAAGAAACAACAAUCUCACUGCGGUCCGAAGUCUACCGCACUGGGAUUUGUACACAAAAAUGUACAGAAGUGUAGUAUCAGCACAACCGACCCCAUGUGCUGGUAAGUGCCUAGCCUAACCUCGGCGAAGUAGUGACAAGGCUAGGACCAGACUACCAAAUAAACCUGUGCAAGAUAGCGUACAAAAAUAAUAUGAAGUAGAUAACAAUGAUGGCAACAAUGAUCAACCAGGGAUAUAAAUAGCAGGCGACAAGAACACCAUAAAUGUUUCUCAACAAAUAAUAAAUACAAGUGCAAUCAAUUAAUCAAGUCCNNNNNNNNNNNNNNNNNNNNNNNNNNNNNNNNNNNNNNNNNNNNNNNNNNNNNNNNNNNNNNNNNNNNNNNNNNNNNNNNNNNNNNNNNNNNNNNNNNNNNNNNNNNNNNNNNNNNNNNNNNNNNNNNNNNNNNNNNNNNNNNNNNNNNNNNNNNNNNNNNNNNNNNNNNNNNNNNNNNNNNNNNNNNNNNNNNNNNNNNNNNNNNNNNNNNNNNNNNNNNNNNNNNNNNNNNNNNNNNNNNNNNNNNNNNNNNNNNNNNNNNNNNNNNNNNNNNNNNNNNNNNNNNNNNNNNNNNNNNNNNNNNNNNNNNNNNNNNNNNNNNNNNNNNNNNNNNNNNNNNNNNNNNNNNNNNNNNNNNNNNNNNNNNNNNNNNNNNNNNNNNNUGANAAAGAAAAUACCAUUUUCAAUUAAAGUAAAAUAUCGAAGGAAUCAUUACUUUUAAUACGAGAAAUUAAUAAAUCAAAACAUAGUAGAAAUUCUUUUUUAAGUAAAGUACAACUUCAAACGGUUUAAGGAAACUUUAGUUGAGAAAUCAAUUGAGUUAAAAAUGUAACAAUUCUUGAAAUUUGAAGUAUUGGACAUAUUAAAAAAAAUAAGGUGAGGUAUUGUAAACACUAUGGAUUCCAACACAAAGGAUCACAACAGUAAAGAGAUCUAAACAGUUAAUACACUUGAAUUGUUAAUAACAAGUAAACACAGCAAACAGAAAGUGCACGACAUCACCCUUCGUGCUUUAACACUCUUUCACCAAAACAAUACACGGCAUCACCUUUCGUGCUUUAACACUCUCUCACCAAAACAAUACACGGCAUCACCUUUCGUGCUUUACACUAUUCCUCACCCAAGCAACAAACACAAGGCAAAUAGGGUAAGGGAAUCUAUAACAUCGAAAUAAAAUUAAGUAAUGACGGAAAAUCAGUAAAUAAACGUACAUGACAACAUAACUCAGUUAGAAUCAGGAAAAAUCAAGAACAAGUGCACGACAUCACUCUUCGUGCUUUUACUCUCGUCCUCACCAUAAGAAUCAAUAUAAACUGCACGGCAUCACCCUUCGUGCUUUACACUCUUCCUCACCAUAAAAUCAAUAUAAUCGGCACGGAAUUGUACAUCGUGCAGCACGGCAUCACCCUUCGUGCUUUACACUCUUCCUCACAAAAUCAUACACGACAUCAUCCUUUGUGCUUUAACACUCUUCCUCACCCAAACAAUAAUCACAAGAAAUAAGGGCAAGGAAAUAAAUGAAAUCACAAUAAAAUCCCGAUAAGGGAACAAUAGUACAACAAUCAAAUCCCGACAAGGAAAACAACAUCAAAACAAUAACAUCCCAGCAAGGGAAACAACAUCAAAACAAUAAUACUUCACAAGUCAUAUUCCUCAAUAGAAAUUAUCAUAUAGAGCAUAUACACUACGAAACGGAGUCAGAUUAAUCAAAGUAUAAGACUCACGGGCAUGCUUGACACCAACGUAUAGAUACUCGUCACCAUGCCUAUACGUCGUACUCAACAAAUAAAACAUAACAGAUAGGACACAACUCCUAAUCCCUCAAGCUAAGGUUAGACCAACACUUACCUCGCUUUGCAACCAAUUCAAAAUUUUAACAAGCCUUUGCUCGCGAAUUCGUGCCCGAAAUUCUCAAAUCUAGUCAUAAACAAUUUGAUUCAGUCAAUAAAAAUUAUAGGAAUCAAUUCCAUAUGAAAUUCUACAUUUUUCAUUAAAAAUCCGAAAUUGCACUAAAAAUUCGUCCGUGGGGCCCACGUCUCGGAACCCGACAAAAAUUACGGAAUAUGAAACCUCAUCCAACCACGAGUCUAACCAUACCAAAAUUACUAAAUUUCGAUAAUAUUUCGACCCUCAAAUCCUCAAAUCUAUCCGAGAGAGUUUUCAAACUCUUCCAACUAAAUUCAUAGAUUUAAUACCAAAACUAGUAAUAGAUUCGGGUAAUCUAACCAAAAUUAAGUUAAGAACACUUACCCCGUUGUUUUCUCUGAAAUCUCCCAAAAAUCGCCUCUUCCCGAGCUCCAAUUUGACAAAAAUGGAAAAUGGGACAAAGUCCCAUUUUCAGAAAUAAACAUUCUGUCCACAAUUCGGGGGUUACUGUUCACGCGUUUUUAUUGUUCACGUGGGUACUGUUCACGGUACUGUUCACGGGGUACGGUACACGGUACUGUUCAUAUGCUGUAAAAGAAAAUUCAGCAGCCUUUUUAUAUCCAUUAACCUUCCGAAAUCCACCCGAGGCCCUCGGGACCUCAACAAAAUACACCAACAAGUCCUAAAACAUAAUACAGACUUAGUCGAAAUCUCAAAUCGCAUCAAAUAAUGCUAAAAUCGUGAAUCACUCCCCAUUUAAGCCUAAUGAAACUAAGAACAUCCAACUUCUAUAUUCGAUACAAAAACCUAUCAAAUCAAGUCCGAUUGACUUCAAAUUUUGCACACAAGUCAUAAAUGACAUAACAAAGCUAUGAAAUUUUUUAGAAUUAGAUUCCGACCCCGAUAUCAAAAAGUCAACUCUCCGGUCAAACCUAAGAAAUCUUUAACCUUAGAUUUCUAGAUUCCGUUAAAUGGCGAUAAUUUAAUCUAGGGACCUCCAAAUUCGAUUUCGGGCAUACGACCAAGUCCCAAAUCACGAUACGGAACUACCGGAAUGGUCAAAACUUUUAUGCGGGUUCGUUUGCUCAAAAUAUUGACCGCAGUCAACUCAGUUGAGUUUUAAAGCUCUAGUUCACAAUUUAGUCCAUUUUUCACAUAAAAACCUUCCGAAAAAUUAUACGGACUGCACACGCAAGUCGAGGAAUUAUUGAUACUGCUUUUCAAGGUCUUAAAAAUACCGAGAUGAUUAUUUAAUUUAAAGAUGACAUUUUGAGUCAUCACAAAUAUAAUAUAAAUAUAUACUUUUUAAACGAUUUCAAAUACUAAUUACUGCUCAAAAGUAUUUUUCAAAUUUAAGUAGCCAAAUACAAAUUAUUUUUAAAAAAGAAUACUUUUUGAAAUAAGCUAAUUUUGAAACUUGGCCAAACAUGCUAGGAUUAAACUUUGACAAAAACGUGAUUUACCAGUUACGAGUUACCACGGUAAUAAUACAAGAAUUUACCAUUCUGUCGGUGAAAUGAUAAAGUAGGUAUAUAUCGAGAGCUCAAUUUCUCAGGAGAAGUUGGCGUUUGGCAAAAGAAGGAGAGGUAAACUUUUUCAACAGAGCAAGUAAUUUUUGGUCUAUACUAUAAGGAGAAGGGGACAAAUGAAUAAUAAACGUAAGAGCGGUCUAAUCCCCACACUUCAGUUUCUGAAUAAGACUGACCAUAUAGUGGAUCGAGCCACGCCUGCCUUUGUCACCAAAUCUAUGUCGUCUCAUGGUCGGUAGGUUUUCAUUUGUUUUACCCCCAAAAAAAAAAUGAUGUAAUUAGAUAAAGGACGUUUUGAUAUAAGUCCAACUAAGUUUAUUAUAAUAGUCUUGAGCUGAGCUCAACUGAAUUGCUAUACUUUUGAUUUGAAUCGAGUUUAAUUGAACUCUGCUACAGUAUAACCGCAAAAUUGCACGAUUAUCUUCCUAAAGGAUUGAGUUUUAAAUAGUAUUUCCGCUUUUAUUUUGUAGUGAAAAUAAAAAUUUUCCACAUCGUCAGAAUACUAAAGUUGUUUAAUUCUGGAAGCUCGAAAUUCUUGUCUGAUUGGUUAUGGUUCAUCGGUUGAAUAUGGCCAAAUACAUACACAAACCGUUUAACUCGACGCAAAUUUUCAUGUUAGCACUUUAUCUAAGCCUUGUUCCAUUUUGGCAUUCCAACCCAUUUGAUAUGUUUCAUUUUGACACAAAACGCUGACUUGUCAUGUUGGGUGAAAUUCCUCACUUGGUAAGCGCGUGAGGCUCUAUUUUAAAUGCCCAAACUCCCAAACAAAUUCCUUGGUUGUUCUCGAUCUCCAUCUCCAUAAAGCUUCAAAGCUUUACUGUAUUUUAGUUCCUUUAUUUAUUUAUUUAUUUUUAAUUUCUUAAAAUCCAUAUCUUCGUCUGAAGCUUGAAGUUCCAAACUUCAAGAAUGUUGGUGAUAUCUCUAGUGGGUUCAACAUUGUCGGAGUUCAAUUUGUACUGGGGAAAAGGCCAUUGUUAAGUCUUGUGUGCCUUUUAUUUGUGUACCUUUUCCUGUACCUAUUAUGGAGGAAAUGAAACUGGUUUUAGGUACCAAUUAUGUUCAGCUGUAAUCCGUGGUUUCAUCACCUACAACCAGGGAUUUUGGGAACAAGAUUAGAGUUUCAUUACCUAUGACUAAGGAUUUUGGGAACGGGAUUAGGGUAGAAAAAAUAAGCAGGGGGCUAUUAUUUUACCCAUAGCCCAUCUGGGUUAUUAGUGUAGGGUUCCGGGUAUUUGGUUAGACCCGGUUGACAUGGAUUAAAAAACAGUUGUCUAUAUUUAAUUGGAUAGUUAUCACACCUAGAUGCGUUUAUACACACGCUCUUUAUAUUUUACACUGGGUCAGUUUUUUGUGUCAAAAUGAAACACAUUAAAUGGGAUUGGAGUGCCAAAAUGGAACAAAGCUUAGAUAAAGUGCCAAAAUGAAAAUUGGUGUCAAGUUAGAGGGGUUGUGUAUGUAUUUGGCCUUUGAAUAUUAAUAAUUUGUGCUUAAAUUCUGUUAUUCAAAUAUUGAUUUAGUGAUUAUUUUAAAAAUAUCGAAAUUUUAUUGUUGAUCCUUAAAAAUUACUAUUGAAGAAGAAAAAAUGAGUCUUAUUGACUAAAUACUUUGUUGAUUGAAGGUCGUUUGUAUUGCUAUUUGAGAUUUUGUCGGAUAAGAGGUAGUUUGAUCAAAGUUUAAAUUGCAAUUUGGAAAAAUACUUUGUUGAGCAAUAAAAACAAAUUAUGAUAAUCGAGUAUAUAGGUGUUUGGUUUUUUUUUUGGGCGGGUGAGGGGUGGGGGGGGGGGGGGAGGAGAGGGUUGGAUGGGCCUGCCUUUUCGAUCGAUAUCCGAUUGUGUUGACUUUGAUGAACAAUUUAGUAGAUAUGUUGAUUGUGGAUAACACGAAGUCAUGCCAAUCUAAUAGAGUUUAGUGAAUAGUUGAGCAAGCACAAAAUCAUGUCAAUAAGGGUAUAAUUUAUGAACAAUUUAACAAAUAAACAGAAUACACAUAACACAAAGUCAUACCAAUAUGAGAGGGUUUGGUGAACAAUUGAAUAAUUACAAAGAUAUGCCAACUAGGUAGUGUAUGGGUCGAAAUCUGACCACACUUGGAUCAGCAUUAAAAGGAAUGGCGAGGGGUUGACUAAGCCGUGGUUAUAUUCAUGAGACAUCAUCUCCAAGAAAUCAUUUAUGAGACAUCAUCUGACCUGUCACGCCUCUUUUUUCUUACCCCCGGAAAGGGAUAUAAGAGAGUUUUUUCCAAUUUAAGUGACAAUCGAAACGAGAUUAUUUGAAUUAUUCAGAGUCGCCACUUGGGAUAAUUUAUGGUGUCCCAAGUCACCGGUUUAAAAUCCCGAAUCGAGGAAGUUGACUCUUAUUACGGUCUGCGAACAUAGAAAUCCGAUUAAGGAAUUCUGUUAACCCGGGAGAAGGUAUUAGGCACUCCCGAGUUCCGUGGUUCUAACACGGUCGCUUUGAUCAUACUUGGCUUAUCAAAAUUGUCUAAUUACUUAUUGUUAGAACCUAUGUGCAUUUACCCUUUUUAAUUAAGGAAUAUCUUGAAACGGGUCACGCGUACGUGUACCCAUUUGUUCGGCGCAUCAAAAAUCAUGUCAUGCGAACGUGUCCACAAUGAAUAACGCGUUAUUAUUAUUAAGAAAAUUUUGGCCGAAGUUGCGUGAACGCAUACUCCGGUUUUGUUUUUAGAAAUCGUAAUCAUGUCACACGAACGUGUACAUAAUUACAAUGAUAUAUUAAAUGGGCCUAGAGCGAUUACGAGCAUUUGUCAUUUUUAUAUCUAAAUCAUAAGAUUAAUACAAGGGUCAUGUAUAAUUAACUCAUAGAUGACACACCUCGGACUAUUAUCAUUAUCCGAGGCCUUAACUCCCAUUAUCUAUCUCUAAACAGAUUGACAGAAUUCAUUACUCUAGUCCCAUGUUAAUCUUACCUUUAUCAUAGUUUAAUCACGUCAAAAAUAAAGCAAAGAAUCGGAAAUAAACCAAUCAGAACAUCGACUAAGGAUGCCAACAAAUUUAGGUCGAGAAAAGAGAAUUCUCAAGUGCAAUUAUUAGUCAGCAAAGAAGAAAAUUAGUGCAUGAAACCAGACAGACUUGUCUCAAAUCGUAGAAGGAUAAUUUCAGCAUUCACUCCAUAUUAAACUUGGCCAGGCGAGUGAGAUAUUCAUGAAAUUAUAAGUGAUCGAAUGGCAACUUCGCACCACUGUCAACAGUCAUCAAGUCAAUUUGAAUUCCUAUUUGUAAAUCUAAUAAACCAAUACUUUCAUCUAAAGCAAACAGAGAUUCGAACAACUUAUAAACCGAUCAAAACCAAGCUUUCAUCACAUUUUGAAUUGAACAACAACGAAUGAGCCAAGAAGACAACAAAAUAAAAAAAGAUCAGGAGGAACCUGAAAUUGAAAACUGAACUGAUCCCAGAACUGAGAUCGAUCCAAAAACAGACAGCAGCUGAAGAUCAACCCUCGAGUAGAAACAAAUUCGAACUUCUCAGAUAACUUUCAUUUUUACCCAAAAAUCCAGAAUCGAGAUGAAAAAAUUCUAUUAUUUCGAAAUGCUAAAUAAAACUGACAUCUAGUGAAAUUAUGGAACCUUCAUAAUAUAUUUUUUCUGUUCUAAUAUGAUAAAGAAAAAGAACAAUGGAAAGGAGGAAGAAAACUUUGAACACUAAUUUAAAUUUUUCUUCCGAAAUCUCUCUCAAUUCUCCCCGAAAUCUUCUCUCUCCAAAAAACAAUUCCCCUACACAAGAAAAGGGUCUCACCUUAUAUAGACCUCCAAAAGAUCUCGAACCUUCUUCCUUUCUCUCCAAGAAAAUCCCAAAACGAAAAAUCCUCUCCCCAAACAGAUUUCUCACCCCGUUUCUGAUGAAAGAGGAACAAAUGGAGGGAGUAGAUUAGUUCAAAUCCAAUCUAACGCUCCCUAUUUUUCCUUGUUUUCAUUUGAAGGGUGAAAAAAUCCUAGAUAAAUCGAAGAAGCAUGUUCGGGAGGGGGAAUCUGUCAGAAGCGAUUACCAUAUGGUAGGAGAAGAGGAAAGGGAACCGCGUGGUAUGAAAUUGGUGCUCACUUGCCAUGGAUUUGGGUGAUUUAGGGUCUGAUUUGGGUGAGGGAGGCGAGUGAAUAGUGAGCACCGUUUGGGUUCUUUGGGAAUUAGGGUUCUUGCAUUGUAGGUAUAUUUGGGUAAUUGGAGUGCUGUGGGCCGUU
rnacentral:lncRNA from 1 species